rnacentral:lncRNA from 1 species
CUUGAGUUACAGUUACCCAACUGUCUGCACUUUGGGGUUGAUCUUGUGAGGAUAGGAGAUCUUGAUAGAGGCUCGGCUAGAGUGGGAAAUUUCUCAACUGCUUCCUACAUAAAAUUUCAUCUAGCAGACCAAAAUCAGUGAAGUAGAUCACUGGGUGAAUUAUCAUUUCAAGCCCAGUUGGUUUGCUAGUCAUCCAAGAUCAGUGGGAAGACAAAAAAAGACAGGACGACUGGUGAUGGCCUGGGAUCCAGUGGAUGACCUCGGCAUCUUCAAUGUCUGACCAAGCUCUGAGUACUCUACAG